GUUGCUAAUGUUGUGGUCACUAAAUCGGUUGCUAAUUUUUAAAUUAGUGACCGAUUUUAUAAAAUAAUCAGUCGCAAAAACGGUCGCUAAGUUAAAAAAAAAAUUAUCUGAAUUACCCUCAUUAACCCUAACUCACCCACACCAUUCUCAUUUCUCCAAUCAAAUACCAUUAUUGUCUCCGAGCGCCAUUGUCAUAUUCUUCGCCGCUGUCCUCUGUGCACGUCUCACUGCCAUCUCUUGAGGUCCCGUCGGCAUCGUCUUCUCCGGUCUCGGUGCCGUCUCCUGAGGUGUCGUCACCAUCUUCUUCUGCAAUCUCGGUGUCAUCGCUUACGUCCUUGAGAUCUCGGCGUCGUCUUUUGUCUUAUGAUAUCUCCGGGCCGUCUUCGUCAUCUUCAAGCAGAUUCUUAACUGGAAACCUUCUCAACGGAUCAGUGCCUUCAUGGCCGAGUGAUGCUACCAGCUUGAGUGUCACACAUCAAAUCUCUCUUUUUUCAGCAUGUCAAACAACUGCUCAAAGUCUCAAACAAUGCUAUUGACCAUAAAGAUAAGCCACUGUGAACUUUUUGAAGUUGAUUGUAUAGCUUCCAUUCUAUUUUCAAGAUUUGUAAUUGUGUAAGGACAUCCAACGAGAUAAAUUUAAGAAUGCUAUAGAAUAGGCUACGCAAAAAGCAUCUGAAGAAGGAAGUAAUGUACCAAAUGAGAUGGAUGUAUGGUGUGAAAUAGCCGGAGUAAAAAAGGGAAGAAUUUAUGGACUUGGAGCAGAAUCCACUAUAAUUAACAAAAGAUCUAGUUAUCGUGGCUCCAGUUCUCAGUCAUCCAAUUGGUUGCAAAGGUCAGAACAUGAAGAAUAAUGAAGAAAAUGCAAGAAGAAAAUGAUGAUUUGAAAACUAGAUUGGAAAAGACAGAAAGAGGACUUGAACUCAAUAACCGUAUGCUUUAAGAAAUGAUGAAAAAGCUUAAUUUUAAAAUUCUGAUUCCUCAACUAGAAGGUAGAGAAACAAAUAUAGGAGAGGAUGAAGAUGGUGAAUGUACGUCUAAAGAGUGAUUAGUAGUUUGACAUAAUUCACUGGGUGAAGAAUCUUGAAAGAGGAUAUUUUAAAAUAUAGAAUCUACAUUGCUCUGGUCAACAUCCCCAACAUUUCAAGGUCACCGAAAAUCAUCUUGAAUAUCCUUAUGAUAGAUAGAUAGAUAAAUAUAGAUGUUAGACGAGAAUGUAUAUAAGAAAAUCAAGAAAAAGUAGACCGAUCUUUUACUUGCUAUGUUGAUGGAUCUGAGCGUAAUUCUGUUAAUUGAUGUAAUUAGUAAUAUGAAGAGUGCUGUUUAUUUUGUGUUAUGUUAUUUUGGUUAUUGUUUAA